AGUAGGGGGGGGACGGCUGAUUUCGAUUUCCGCUACACAUUUAAAAGAUUGACAGCAGCCGAGAAGCGUCGUGUGCAAAGUGGGAAGACGGGUGAAAGGAUGCGGUUUUGGUCGGGAAAGAUGCAUAUAACAGAAGUAGAAUGGUAUGCGGGCAAACACAGAGAGGAUCGGGGACGGGAGAAAAGAUGUGUUAUCGACAGCUUUCCGUUUUUGGGCAGCCACGGCAGCAAGCGAGAAAAGCCCCCCCAAGGUAGCAGCUGCUUGCGACUCGUGCCGUCACGGCCAGUGUCCUGAACCUACGUUGAGUCCUUCAAGACCCAGCCGUGACGAAUAGAGAGAGGGUUUUGCGUGCAAAAUGGCGGAUGGUUUACAAGUCUCUUCGGUACAAGAGAAGAAAAUUUUAUUCCUCGUGAGGUCGCGCGGCUUACGCGCUCAAACUUUCCGUCCUGUAUAUUCGGCCUGACAGAUGCUGGUGGUUUCCUUAUGUAGAGGCACGUCGUGGUCAUUUGCAGGCUUCAAGGACGAGCCUGUUGUGUGUCUAUCUUUGCAUUACAGAUUUUGGUUUCUCGCAAACUUGUAAAGAGAAACAAAGGUAUCGCGCGCAUAUAAAUCGGCAGCAAAACUCCUUUCAGCAGACGCCGUAAGCGGUCACAGCGUGUCAGUACCACACUACAUACUGUGAAUAUCCACGUAAAUACGUGUCCGGAGAGCUUCGAUGCAACAGGGGAUGGCUUUUUGUGGCAGUUCUUUCAGUUAUGCUUGCUCUAAUACAUAAAACUCUUUUAAAAUAAUGUAUAUAGACUGGCAAAAGCCGCUGUGCGCAGCCGCAGGCCCGAAAAAACUGACGGACCGUACGUGUUUGCGUUUACGGAAGAGACCUAGUCCCUGAAUACACGCGCCUUUGUAAUGACGUGUUCAGAGUGAUCAGCAUGGGUCCGCUGUCUUUCCGUGUUGCGUUUGCACGUGUAACCUUAUCUACGUCAAAUUCCACUGCAUUCCUGGUGAGCGCCACUACGCAAGUCAUUGCAGGUUUCAGCGCUGCUCGGGAAAGGAAAAAAACUCCACCAACCGAGACGGCCCUCCGUCGCAAAGCGCUGCUGCCUCACUCAUUUCCUCCAAACACUAAAAUGCCGUCUUCCCAUGCAAGUGUUACUGUACGUUGACCGGUCUCGUUGCAUAUGUGAGUCUCCGCUUAGGCUGCGGCGGCAUCUCCGUAAGCCAGUGCACCGCCAUCCGAGGGAUUUCUGGGCAUCUGGUCAUAGCGUGUUUAGCCACGUUCAUUCGUGUGCAGAAUGAAUUUUCUGAUUACUAGUACCGACGCGAAUAAGUAAAAACGAUCUGGCUACGGUCUGGCAAGCAGGAUUAAGUAAGACGACGCUUUGAUCCGGCGCCCCUGCUCUAAUGCCGAAAACACGACCGUACGACCCGAAACAGAACUACACUGUGCUCGCCAGCAUUGCGAAAUAGAAGGCACAGUACAAUUCAAAAAAGCAUUAAUGAGAAAACUGUUACGUGUCAUGCUUCCUCUUGCUGCGGGAUUCGCCCGAUGAACCUUCAAGAUGCGUAGCCACGUAGCUGGCCAUAAAGGAGAUACUUCUCAAGGACGCGGUUUUGAGCGCGUACCCAUCUCCCGAGGCGCGUAGAAAUGGUGAAGUGUUGAUUCCACAGAAACUUCGCUAGGUUUCAAAUUAUGUAUACGAAGCGAAGAGCGUCCCCUGAAAGACUCUGGCGUGAGCCGGCCAUACCGAGUUCUCAAGCAGACUGUGUCAUGCUAAUUUCGCCAACUUUAAGAGAACCAUACACAACACCAGACGCUUUUGCAGAUGACUAAACAGUCUUUAGAAAAGCCCAAUCGACGGAAAGGCCCC
rnacentral:lncRNA from 1 species